GACGAACGCUGGCGGCGUGCUUAACACAUGCAAGUCGAACGGAAAGGCCCUGCUUUUGUGGGCUGCUCGAGUGGCGAACGGGUGAGUAACACGUGAGUAACCUGCCCUUGACUUUGGGAUAACUUCAGGAAACUGGGGCUAAUACCGGAUAGGAGCUCCUGCUGCAGGGUGGGGGUUGGAAAGUUUCGGCGGUUGGGGAUGGACUCGCGGCUUAUCAGCUUGUUGGUGGGGUAGUGGCUGACCAAGGCUUUGACGGGUGGCCGGCCUGAGAGGGUGACCGGCCACAUUGGGACUGAGGUACGGCCCAGACUCCUACGGGAGGCAGCAGUGGGGAAUAUUGCACAAUGGGCGGAAGCCUGACGCAACCACGCCGCGUGCGGGAUGACGGCCUUCGCGUUGUAAACCGCUUUCGCCUGUGACGAAGCGUGAGUGACGGUAAUGGGUAAAGAAGCACCGGCUAACUACGUG
rnacentral:rRNA from 1 species